rnacentral:rRNA from 1 species
UACGUAGGGUGCAAGCGUUGUCCGGAAUUAUUGGGCGUAAAGAGCUCGUAGGCGGUUUGUCGCGUCUGCUGUGAAAACUCGGGGCUUAACUCCGGGCCUGCAGUGGGUACGGGCAGACUAGAGUGCGGUAGGGGAGACUGGAAUUCCUGGUGUAGCGGUGAAAUGCGCAGAUAUCAGGAGGAACACCGGUGGCGAAGGCGGGUCUCUGGGCCGUAACUGACGCUGAGGAGCGAAAGCAUGGGGGAGCGAACAGG